rnacentral:lncRNA from 1 species
UCUUGGAGUUCUAGCUCACCUUUCUGGUAUUGUUCUUGUACUCAUCUGUUUAAUCUAGUUUUGCCACUUCUUCUUGAACUUCUUGUUAAAUUUCAAGUCUGUAUUUUGUGUCCGUGACAUAUAAUCGAUAAGCAACAUGAUUGACAUAGAUAUUGUGUUUAUAGUAUUUACAUCUAUGUAUAAAUGCAUAUCUUCUCCAAAAGGUCUUAUGAAAUUAACCUACUUUUAUCUAUUUUUACUUACUUCUACUUAAUUAUAUAGGUAUUUACUAGAAUACCUAUGUAUGUCCAUGACAAUAUGUUGUUAAAAAUGCUUAGCAUAUCUUAUGCAUAUCCUUUUAAGAAAAUUCAUAGUAAAAAAUGUAAGCUUAAGCUAUCAAAAUUUUAUCAAUAUUUGGAGUUAUGCAUAUUUAUUCUUAUUUUUUCAAAUCUAUUAAAAAAAUAAAAAAGAUAUUAAUUUUGAAUUAAAAAAUUAUGUUAAAAAUAUACUAUUUUAUCAUUUUAUUUUUUGGAAUAUUUUUAUUAGCAUUAAAUUAUCAAAUAUCUAUCUAUUCUUCAAUCUUCAUUAAUUUUGAUUACUAUUUUUUCUUUGUAAGAUUACUUUUAUAUCAUUAAAAUAGAUAUUUUAAAUAAAAUUAAAAAUAUUUGUAUUAAUAAUAUAUAUAAUAAUAUAUAUAAUAAUAUAUAAUAUAAUAAUAUAUAAAUUGAUUUUAAAAUCUAAUAUUAAUUAUUGAAUAUCAUGAACAAAAAUAUUUAUAUUAAUAAUAUAUAUAAUAAUAUAUAAUAUAAUAUAUAAUAUAAUAAUAUAUAAAUUGAUUUUAAAAUCUAAUAUUAAUUAUUGAAUAUCAUGAACAAACAUAUUUAUAUUAUAAAAAUUAGAUUACCUUGCAAAUUUGACUUGUUUUAAUUUAAAUUGAUGUUUGAAUCUAAAAUAGCUAUUUAAAAAAUUAAAAAAUUUACAUCUUUAAUAUAUUAUGAUAAAUAUAGAUGCUCAAUUUAGAUAUUAUUGCCAAUAGAAUUAAAAGACUUAAUAUCUUUCUUAUACUUUGGCAUGAUCAAAUAUAACAACAUUGGUAGAAGACUUGAAAAAUAUAAAAUAGUUGAUACAUUUUGAUAUAAGUGGAUACUUAGAAUUGACAUGGUUAUCUUUAAAAUUAAAUAACCUUACAUCUUAAAAGAAGUAACUGCUUAAAGUUAACAUUAUUGCUAAAAGAAUUGAGCAACCUUACAUUUUUUUUACAUGCUUUGAUAUAAAUAAAUGAAUAAUUUAGACAUACGUUGAUAUCUUUUAUUUAAUUUUUUUAACAAAGAACAAAAAAAAGAAAAAAAAUAGAGAAUUGCUUUGAAAUUUGAUGCACUAUGUUAAUGCAACAAAUGAUGUACUUAGAAGACCUCGUUCAAAAAGAUUUUAAGACAUUGCAUCUGUUGUAUUUGGUAUUGUUACCAUUUCAUAAAGCUGAUGAAGAUGAUCGAAGCCUUUGUCAUAGGUUGAACUAUGCAAUCGGAGGUGUUUGUUUUGAAAAUCAAAUCAAUAUAAAACCACUUAAUAUAUUUAUUGAUAUGGCCUCCAAGAAACUGAGGCGUCGCAUGUCAGGAGCUCACGCAAAUGAAGAGACAUGGAAGGAGAUCAGAGAGCAGUUGAUACCGGAAGAUCACUCCUUAAAAAAUAUUUCAUGUCUUCCUGAUUCCUUCUGCAGUAAUCCACAAGUUGUCUUCGCUAACGGCAGCUGUAGGAAUUAGUGUGCAACGUCUGAGCAGUUGUGAGAAGUGCAAACAGCUAGGCUGAAACGGAUCAGUAAUACACGUUGACACGGAAGAUUGAUCUUGCUAUUUGUCACAGCACCCCUGCAUAGGCAUCUGCGUCUAACCGAUUUAGGAAUCAACGCAGUCCUGCAAGAUUUGUUACUUGCAUUCUAUUGCUUCUGACGUUUCUGGAAGGGGCUUCACGACAUUGCAGCUCGAGCGAGACUUCCAAACAGAAUCACUCACAACUUUAGCCUCAUCAGCGAUGAUGAUGCAUCGAAAUGCAAAUGUUGACAGACGUUUCGUAAAAAAAAGCUAUUUCUCCUCACAGCUCGAAAACAAUCGUUGGCUUUACUGUGAAGUAUCCAUCUUUCCUUUUAUUUUUUCCCUCUUUGAUUUGCGAAGCAAGAUUGUCACUGACGAAUCUCUCCAAUCGGACAUUGCUUCAAGGAGGUUGCACCAGAUGGAUGUUGUCGCCUUGUUUCCGUGGUU